ensembl:lncRNA
UAGCAAUAUAAAACAACAGAGUCAAGCCUCAUUUUUCAUUUGAUAAAAAACGACAGUGUUACCCCCUACGUUUUAUUCGAUACAUUUCGACAGUGUUACCCCUUAUUGGUUCUUCAUGACGACAGAUAAAAAACGACAGUGUUACCCUUUACGUUUCAUUUGAUAAAAACCACAGUGUUACCACUUAUGUUAUUUUCCCAUGAUGACUGAUGAAAAACAACAGUGUUACCCCUUAUAUUAUAUUUGACAAGGACAAUUUACUUUUUUUUUUCAAAUAUGUUUUUUUUCAUGACGACCAUAAAAAACAACAGUGUUACCCCUUAUCUUUUUUUUCACAACGACCUAAGAAAAACUACAGUUUCACCCCUCAUGUUUCAUGUGAUAAAAACGACAGUGUUACCCCCUAUGUUUUAUUCGAUACAUUUCGACAGUGUUACCCCUUAUGGGUUUUUAAUGACAACAGAUAAAAAAUGACAGUGUUACCCUUUACGUUUCAUUUGAUAAAAACGACAGUGUUACCCCUUAUGUUUUUUUUCAUGACGACCAAAGAAAAACAACAGUGUUACCCCCUAUGUUUUUUUCAAAACGGGCAGAAAAAAACGAGAGUGUUACCCCUUAUGUUUUUUUCAAAACGGGCAGAAACACUGACAGUGUUACCCCUUAUGUUUUUUUCAAAACGGCCAGAAAAAAAUGACAGUGUUACCCCUUAUGUUUUUUUCAAAACGGCCAGAAAAAAACGACAGUGUUACCCCUUUUUUUUUUUCAAAACGGCCAGAAAAAUCGACAGUGUUACCCCUUAUGUUUUUUUCAAAACGGGCAGAAAAAAACGACAGUGUUACCCCUUAUGUUUUUUUCAAAACGAGCAGAAAAAACGACAGUGUUACCCCUUAUGUUUUUUUCAAAACGGCCAGAAAAAAACGACAGUGUUACCCCUUAUGUUUUUUCAAAACGGCCAGAAAAAAACGAGAGUGUUGCCCCUUAUGUUUUUUUCAAAACGGGCAGAAAAAAACGAGAGUGUUACCCCUUAUGUUUUUUUCAAAACGGGCAGAAACACCGACAGUGUUACCCCUUAUGUUUUUUUCAAAACGGCCAGAAAAAAACGAGUGUUGCCACUUAUGUUUUUUUCAAAACGGCCAGAAAAAAACGACAGUGCUACCCCUUAUGUUUUUUUCUAAACGGCCAGAAAAAAACGACAGUGUUACCCCUUAUGUUUUUUUCAAAAUGGCCAGAAAAAAACGACAGUGUUACCCCUUACGUUUUUUUCAAAACGGCCAGAAAAAAACGACAGUGUUACCCCUUAUGUUUUUUUUCAAAACGGCCAGAAAAAAACGACAGUGUUACCCCUUAUGUUUUUUUCAAAACGGGCAGAAAAAAACGAGAGUGUUACCCCUUAUGUUUUUUUUCAAAACGGCCAGAAAAAAACGACAGUGUUACCCCUUAUGUUUUUUUAAAAAACGGCCAGAAAAAAACGAGUGUUGCCACUUAUGUUUUUUUCAAAACGGCCAGAAAAAAACGACAGUGCUACCCCUUAUGUUUUUUUCAAAACGGCCAGAAAAAAACGACAGUGUUACCCCUUACGUUUUUUUCAAAACGGCCAGAAAAAAACGACAGUGUUACCCCUUAUGUUUUUUUUAAAACGGGCAGAAAAAAACGACGGUGUUACCCCUUACGUUUUUUUCAAAACGGCCAGAAAAAAAUGACAGUGUUACCCCUUACGUUUUAUUUCAAAUAGACAGUGCUGCCCCUGGGGAUUGAACACGCAACCUGUCGCUUAAAAGACAACUGCUCUACCUCCUGAACUAAGCCGAUCUUUUUAACUCAUUUCAAAUUGACAUAUAAAUCGACAGUGUUACCCCACUUUUUUUUUUAAAACGGCAGUGUUACCCCUUACGUUUUUUUCAAAACGGCCAGAAAAAAACGACAGUGUUACCCCUUAGGUUUUUUUCAAAACGGCCAGAAAAAAACGAUAGUGUUACCCCUUAUGUUUUUUUCAAACGGCCAGAAAAAAACGACAGUGUUACCCC